GGUUUAAGCGUGUAGGCUGGUUUUCCAGGCAAAUCCGGAAAAUCAAGGCUGAGGCGUGAUGACGAGGCACUACGGUGCUGAAGCAACAAAUGCCCUGCUUCCAGGAAAAGCCUCUAAGCAUCAGGUAACAUCAAAUCGUACCCCAAACCGACACAGGUGGUCAGGUAGAGAAUACCAAGGCGCUUGAGAGAACUCGGGUGAAGGAACUAGGCAAAAUGGUGCCGUAACUUCGGGAGAAGGCACGCUGAUAUGUAGGUGAAGCGACUUGCUCGUGGAGCUGAAAUCAGUCGAAGAUACCAGCUGGCUGCAACUGUUUAUUAAAAACACAGCACUGUGCAAACACGAAAGUGGACGUAUACGGUGUGACGCCUGCCCGGUGCCGGAAGGUUAAUUGAUGGGGUCAGCGCAAGCGAAGCUCUUGAUCGAAGCCCCGGUAAACGGCGGCCGUAACUAUAACGGUCCUAAGGUAGCGAAAUUCCUUGUCGGGUAAGUUCCGACCUGCACGAAUGGCGUAAUGAUGGCCAGGCUGUCUCCACCCGAGACUCAGUGAAAUUGAACUCGCUGUGAAGAUGCAGUGUACCCGCGGCAAGACGGAAAGACCCCGUGAACCUUUACUAUAGCUUGACACUGAACAUUGAGCCUUGAUGUGUAGGAUAGGUGGGAGGCUUUGAAGUGUGGACGCCAGUCUGCAUGGAGCCGACCUUGAAAUACCACCCUUUAAUGUUUGAUGUUCUAACGUGGACCCGUAAUCCGGGUUGCGGACAGUGUCUGGUGGGUAGUUUGACUGGGGCGGUCUCCUCCUAAAGAGUAACGGAGGAGCACGAAGGUUGGCUAAUCCUGGUCGGACAUCAGGAGGUUAGUGCAAUGGCAUAAGCCAGCUUGACUGCGAGCGUGACGGCGCGAGCAGGUGCGAAAGCAGGUCAUAGUGAUCCGGUGGUUCUGAAUGGAAGGGCCAUCGCUCAACGGAUAAAAGGUACUCCGGGGAUAACAGGCUGAUACCGCCCAAGAGUUCAUAUCGACGGCGGUGUUUGGCACCUCGAUGUCGGCUCAUCACAUCCUGGGGCUGAAGUAGGUCCCAAGGGUAUGGCUGUUCGCCAUUUAAAGUGGUACGCGAGCUGGGUUUAGAACGUCGUGAGACAGUUCGGUCCCUAUCUGCCGUGGGCGCUGGAGAAUUGAGGGGGGCUGCUCCUAGUACGAGAGGACCGGAGUGGACGCAUCACUGGUGUUCGGGUUGUCAUGCCAAUGGCACUGCCCGGUAGCUAAAUGCGGAAGAGAUAAGUGCUGAAAGCAUCUAAGCACGAAACUUGCCCCGAGAUGAGUUCUCCCUGACUCCUUGAGAGUCCUGAAGGAACGUUGAAGACGACGACGUUGAUAGGCCGGGUGUGUAAGCGCAGCGAUGCGUUGAGCUAACCGGUACUAAUGAACCGUGAGG
rnacentral:rRNA from 1 species